rnacentral:lncRNA from 1 species
CCGCGUUCGGCUCCGCCUCCCCCCCGCCGCCGCUUGACACAAAGCCGGUGCGGGGCCCAGCUAGGCCGCGAGGCCCUUCCUCACCACCCCGGGCCCCGGUUGGCGGCUUCGCUGGCCCCGGGGACACCACCGAGGCUGCCCGACUCUUCCUCUUGCUGCUCCUCGCGCUGCUCCCACUCCUGUCGCCUCUGAGCCCACGACCGCGUCGGGAAGCCCGGAAACGGUCGGGCGGCGGCGAGGGCUUCGCUGGAUUCCCUCUUUAUUAUUUUUUUGUUCUGCCCCCCCGGCUGCUCUCCGGCCCGCACCCUGCGCCGACGACACCUCCGCGCCA